UGGCAGCCUCUGUAGGCCACAGAGUUCUUA
rnacentral:piRNA from 1 species